UAAAAUGCAGAUUCCAGAAUGUUUUCUGUUUAUUUUCUGCCUUAGGCAACAGAGCUGUAGAGCUGUGGUCAGCGGGAAUGCAGGAUGGCAUGCCACGUAGCUGCAGUAACAAGAAACUUCAGCCUUUUUCCUUUUUCGUGACCCUCCGUGGUUUAGCUGUUCUUUAUGACCCUUGUCUACACUGAUACUAAUCUCCCACCAGCACCUCUUCCAUGAAGAGCAAAAACUUUUGUCCUGUCCAACUUUAUGCUAGUUUUAUGUCUCUGGCUUGCAUUUCAGAGUGGUGAUGUGUGAACUUAAUGAACAAAGAGGGUUUCUUAAUAUUUGGGAUUUAAGGACCGGAAAGUACCCUGUUCAUCGUUUUGAGCACGAUGCAAGAAUACAGGCACUAGCCCUCAGCCAGGACGAUGCAACCGUGGCCACAGCUUCUGCUUUUGAUGUCGUGAUGUUAUCCCCCAAUGAGGAGGGGUACUGGCAGAUAGCUGCGGAAUUUGAAGUUCCGAAACUGGU
rnacentral:sRNA from 1 species